rnacentral:rRNA from 1 species
UACGUAGGGUGCGAGCGUUAAUCGGAAUUACUGGGCGUAAAGCGUGCGUAGGUGGUUUGUUAAGUCUGAUGUGAAAGCCCUGGGCUCAACCUGGGAAUUGCAUUGGAUACUGGCAGGCUAGAGUGCGGUAGAGGAUGGCGGAAUUCCCGGUGUAGCAGUGAAAUGCGUAGAGAUCGGGAGGAACAUCUGUGGCGAAGGCGGCCAUCUGGACCAGCACUGACACUGAGGCACGAAAGCGUGGGGAGCAAACAGG